rnacentral:rRNA from 1 species
AACGCGAAGAACCUUACCAAGGCUUGACAUCUGAGGAAAUUUCCAGAAAUGGAAAUGUGCCCGCAAGGGAACCUCAAGACAGGUGGUGCAUGGCUGUCGUCAGCUCGUGUCGUGAGAUGUUGGGUUAAGUCCCGCAACGAGCGCAACCCUUACUCAUAGUUGCUACCCGCAAGGGAGAACUCUAUGAGGACUGCUCCGGAUAACGGAGAGGAAGGUGGGGAUGAGGUCAAGUCAGCAUGGCCUUUAUGUCCAGGGCUACACACGUGUUACAAUGCGCGCCACAAAGCGUCGCGAACCCGCGAGGGGGAGCUAAUCGCAAAAAAGCGCGCUCAGUUCGGAUUGCAGUCUGCAACUCGACUGCAUGAAGCCGGAAUCGCUAGUAAUGGCGCAUCAGAACGGCGCCGUGAAUACGUUCCCGGGCCUUGUACACACCGAUAGC